GCCUAGUUAGCUUAGUUGGUAGUGCGUCUGCCUUGUAAGCGCUAGGCCGCGGGUUCGAUUCCCGCCCGUGGUU
rnacentral:tRNA from 1 species